CAGUCUCUCUAUUCUUUCAUCUUUUGACAGUCCCGCCAUCCCGGGAAUUAACCUCAUGAACCUACGCUGCACUCCCUCAAUAGCAAGAAUGUCCUUCCUCAAAUUAGAUGUUGUAAUAUUAGACAGUGGGGUUUAGGAUGAAUGCCAGAUUAUUCCACAAAUCACUAAUGCUAUAUACUUCCAAUGGCAUUGAAGUGUCCAGUUUUUGAGCAUUUGACAUUAUUAUAUUUGCUCUCGUGAAAUGAAAUUAAUCAUUGUAUCUUCAAUAAAUCAUAGGCAAGAUUGUUGGACCGAGAUGUACGAAUCAAAAUCAAUUGUGGCCGCUUUACAAAGUGCAGUGUACAGAUGGAUAGUCACAAUCAUCGACAAAGGGGACUGGAGCUGCAGAAUGGUGACAUGACUACAUGAUAUUCUGGAUGAAAUCGCUCCAAUCUGGGAAUUGAGAUUCUAAGAGCGGCCUAAUUACUCUGCACCAGCACAGAUGCAUUUGCUGACAACUAAACAGUGAGGUUGAAACCACACUCAAACGUUCAGUGCACCAUGGGGGUAUGAUGUCAUUUCCCUUUCAGCGAGGUUGGAUCACUUCCUAUGUGUUUUAAGGUGUUUGAAUAAUGUGCCUCAACUGAUCAAGGAUUGCUGCAUCUUGCUUGAACAGGUUGAAGAAGCCAUGAUGAAUAAUGUCUGGAAAAUGUCUUCAAUUUAGGAAAACCAACCUCAUGGUGAUUUGGAAGCACAGAAGAUUGCACCUCGAUGAAUUUUGAAGCCACCAAAUCAUAACAACUAAACAUUUACUAUUACUGGACUCCAGAUCAACAAGGUGGAAGUCCAUUGAGUUUACAAAUUGCAUUAUUUUAUGUACAGGUAUACAACUCAUAACUUUGGUUUGUUGUGUGAAAUUAAAACAAGAAUAAAGGAAUUGCUUCUGAACUG